GACGAACGCUGGCGGCGUGCUUAACACAUGCAAGUCGUACGGUAAGGCCCUUUCGGGGGUACACGAGUGGCGAACGGGUGAGUAACACGUGAGUAACCUGCCCACAACUUUGGGAUAACGCUAGGAAACUGGUGCUAAUACUGGAUAUGUGCUCCUGCUGCAUGGUGGGGGUUGGAAAGCUCCGGCGGUUGUGGAUGGACUCGCGGCCUAUCAGCUUGUUGGUGGGGUAGUGGCCUACCAAGGCGGCGACGGGUAGCCGGCCUGAGAGGGUGACCGGCCACAUUGGGACUGAGAUACGGCCCAGACUCGUACGGGAGGCAGCAGUGGGGAAGAUUGCACAAUGGGCGCAAGCCUGAUGCAGCAACGCCGCGUGCGGGAUGACGGCCUUCGGGUUGUAAACCGCUUUCAGCAGGGACGAAGCUUUUUGUGACGGUACCUGCAGAAGAAGCACCGGCUAACUACGUG
rnacentral:rRNA from 1 species